CUUCGUCACAUGGCAGCUCGCAUAUCUGUCAAGUCAGCAACGUAAACAAACACGGACAACCGCCCGUAAAGAUUGUGUGCAGAAUAAUCGUUAAAUUUUAUGUGAAAACUCGGGAAAAGGUAAGUGUUCUGUGCAUAUUUCAGUAAAUAAACUAUCUUUUAAUGUUUGAACACAUUAUUCCACAGGAAAAACAUCAAUUCAUCCCGAAAUUUGGCAACAUUCGUCCGAGUAUGAUCGAGCAGCUGUGUGUGUGUAUGCCGACGAAAUACGACGCCGUUUCUACAACAAUCACUAAAGCCGGCUGUGAUCGUGAUCGGCACAUUCUCAACUGGACCAACACACCGGUCGUUGUGUAUCUUCAAGCAAACCAACGUUGCCAUACACCACAAAAUAGCAUGGAAAGGAAA